rnacentral:rRNA from 1 species
AUUGAACGCUGGCGGCAGGCUUAACACAUGCAAGUCGAACGAGUGGCGGACGGGUGAGUAAUGCUUGGGAAUCUAGCUUAUGGCGGGGGAUAACUACGGGAAACUGUAGCUAAUACCGCGUACCAUAGGAUGAGCCCAAGUGGGAUUAGGUAGUUGGUGAGGUAAAGGCUCACCAAGCGACGAUUUCUAGCUGGUCUGAGAGGAUGACCAGCCACACUGGGACUGAGACACGGCCCAGACUCCUACGGGAGGCAGCAGGUGGGAAUAUUGCGCAAUGGGGGAAACCCUGACACAGCCAAGCCGCGUGAAUGAGGAAGGCGUUCGGGUUGUAAAGUUCUUUCGGUAGCGAGGCGUUAGCUACAGGGGAAACACCGGCUAACUCCGUGACAGCGGCCGCGGUAAUAC